GGGUUCUGUGUUAGCGUAGGGAUUUUGUGUGUGUGUAUACUGCUUAGAUCCAGGUUGAUUAGCACCUGUAGACCAGCGUUCCUGUGAGUGGAUAUUGCGUAGAGCCAGGUGAUUAGCACCUGUAGACCCGCACCAGCUGUGUGUUUCCACAGUCCCGUUUUGUUUAUUGCUUGUUUCCACUUGAGUAGUGAGAUUUGUUUUUCUUUCUAUAGCGGGGCAACUCUCUUUUGGAGACCCUUCGUGUUGUAUUAUAGUGACAGAUUGACCCGUGUUGUGGGGCCAAUCUGUGUGACCAUCAUUUUGCCUAGUUUCAGUGACAAUAAAACCACCGGUAACAAAUAUACCAAAUCCAA